rnacentral:rRNA from 1 species
GCUUACGCCCAUACCACCCUGAGAACGCCCGAUUUCGUCUGAUCUCGGAAGCUAAGCAGGGUCGGGCCUGGUUAGUACUUGGAUGGGAGAGCGCCUGGGAAUACCAGGUGCUGUAAGCU